rnacentral:rRNA from 1 species
AGAGUUUGAUCAUGGCUCAGAACGAACGCUGGCGGCAUGCCUAACACAUGCAUUGUCGAACGAGGUUUCCGCUUCGGUGGGACCCUAGUGGCGCUCGGGUGAGUAGCGCGUGGGAACCUGCCCUGAAGUGGGGGAUAACCGAGGGAAACUUCGGCUAAUACCGCAUACGCCGGGGCCCUUGAGAGAGGGUUUCGGGAAAGAUUCAUCGCUUUAGGAGGGGCCCGCGUCGGAUUAGCUAGUUGGUGGGGUAACGGCCUACCAAGGCAGUGAUCCGUAGCUGGUCUGAGAGGAUGAUCAGCCACACUGGGACUGAGACACGGCCCAGACUCCUACGGGAGGCAGCAGUGGGGAAUAUUGGACAAUGGGCGCAAGCCUGAUCCAGCAAUGCCGCGUGAGUGAGGAAGGCCUUAGGGUUGUAAAGCUCUUUCACCCACGACGAUGAUGACGGUAGUGGGAGAAGAAGCCCCGGCUAACUUCGUGCUAGCCGCCGCGGUAAUUC